ACUCAAAUGAAUUGACGGGGACUUGCACAAGCAGUGGAUUAUGUGGUUUAAUUCGACGGUAAACGAAGAACCUCACCAGGGUUUGAAACUAACUUGAAAUCUCCAGAAACGGAGCCCUCGCAAGACAAGUUAGCAGGUGCUGCAUGGCCGUCGUCAGUUCGUGGUUUGAAUUGUUCCCUUAAGUGGGGUAACGAACGCAACCCUCGUUGUGUGUUAUAUUUGUCACACAAGACCGCCCAGAACUUUGUUCAUAAAUUAAAAAUUUGUGUAUAAAGUUCUGGGAGGAAGGAGAGGAUGACGCCAGGUCAGCAUGGCCCUUUGAUACCCUGGGCUACACACAUAAUACAAUGGCUAUAACAACAGGACGCGACGUGGUAACACUGAGCAAAUCCUUAUAAAAAUAGCCUCAGUUCGGAUUGAGGUCUGCAACUCGACCUCAUGAAGUUGGAAUUGCUAGUAAUCGCGGGUCAGACAUACCGCGGUGAAUACGUUCUCAAGUCUUGUACACACCGCCCGU
rnacentral:rRNA from 1 species